UACGUAGGGUGCGAGCGUUAAUCGGAAUUACUGGGCGUAAAGCGUGCGCAGGCGGUUGUGCAAGACAGGUGUGAAAUCCCCGGGCUUAACCUGGGAACUGCACUUGUGACUGCACGGCUGGAGUGCGGCAGAGGGGGAUGGAAUUCCGCGUGUAGCAGUGAAAUGCGCAGAUAUCAGGAGGAACACCUGAGGCGAAGGCGGGCUACUGGGCCGAUACUGACGCUGAGGCGCGAAAGCCAGGGGAGCGAACGGG
rnacentral:rRNA from 1 species